AGUAACGCGUGGAUAACCUGCCUCACACAGGGGGAUAACAGUUAGAAAUGACUGCUAAUACCGCAUAAGCGCACGGCAUCGCAUGAUGCAGUGUGAAAAACUCCGGUGGUGUGAGAUGGAUCCGCGUCUGAUUAGGUAGUUGGUGGGGUAACGGCCCACCAAGCCGACGAUCAGUACGCCGACCUGAGAGGGUGACCGGCCACAUUGGGACUGAGACACGGCCCAAACUCCUACGGGAGGCAGCAUG
rnacentral:rRNA from 1 species